AUGCCUCGAGGACGGAGAUAAUGUACUUCCGUCACUUCCUAAAAGAGAUGUAGGGCCGGUACUCCUACCGAGGCUU
rnacentral:ncRNA from 12 species